rnacentral:lncRNA from 1 species
AUAACUGAUACCAUGUGGAGCAGAAGAACCACUCCACCAAGUCCUGUCUGAAUUCCUAGCCCGUGACUCAUGAGCUAUAAUACAGUGAUAGUUAUUUUAAGUCUCUAAGUUUGGGGGUAUUUUCUUGUACAGCAAUAAAAACCUCAGUAUUACAUGAGUUACAAAAAGUACCCAGGGUCAGACCACUUUCCUCCAGAAGACAUACAUGUUAAAAUUAAAUGAAAACAGGAAUUGGUCACAGGGUACAAGCACAGGACCUUCUGGAAUUUGAGAGAUGUUCCUGGAUUGUCAAUGGGAAGAGAAAGUCCUAGAGUGGUAGCCAGGGUCCCUUCACCUUCCUGUGUAGCAAAGAUAAUUGUUGUUAUGUUUUAAGAUACACUGCGUCUUUACAGAACAGCCCUCUGCUAUAGAACAUACUAUGCUUUUUAGAACAGUGUGCUAUAAUAUUUAGCUCUCCCAUUAACACUGUGUGUCAUUUCCUAGUGUUGCUGUAACAAAUUACCAGAAGUUCCGUGCCUUAAAACAACCCUGAUUUAUUAUCUUGUAGUUCUGGGGGGUCAGAGACUCAAAAAUGGACACCCCCCCACUGGGCUAAAGUCAAGGUGUCCGUGGGGCCAUGUGUCUUCCGGAUGCUCGAGGGGAGUGUUUGUCUCUUUGCCUUUUCCAGCUUUCAGGGGCUCCCCGCACUCCUUGGCUCCUGGGAUGCUAACUUCAUCUUCAAAGCCAACAUGACCAGACAAGCCUUUCUUGCACUGCAUCAUUCUCACAGAAACUCUCCUGCCUCCUCCUUUCAUUUAUAAGGACUAUUGUGACUACACUGGGCCACUUGGAUAACACAGGAUAAUCUCCCCAUCUCAAGGUCGGCUGGUCAGCAACCUUACUUUCAUCUUCCACCUCAAUCUCCUCCCCUUUGUCUGUAACAUAACAUGUUCUCAUGCUGCAGGAAUAAAGACAUGGACGUCUUUGGGGAGCACAUUAUACUGCCCACCACACCCUAUAAGAUGGGAAUAUCUCUCUUUCACAAAUGCACGAGCUGAGGAUCAUGGCAGUUAAAUAAUUUUUCCAAGGUCACACACACCCAAUGUCCCUCCACCUGAAACCUGUAGAAUCGCAAGCUAAAAAGCAGGCAUAUUCUAGAAAAUGGCCAGAUAAGCCCUUCUAGAGGCAAGGAUGUCGUAUGGAAGUGGACUAAGCAAAUCACUAUGCCUCUUCACCAGCCCAUGAAAAUAUAAUUUUCUAGCAGCUUUGUGGUGGUGAGAAGCAUUAUUGGGGGUUUCCCCCCCGCCAGCUUCUCCAGCCCGAACAAAAGAGAGAGAAACCUUGUCUAGGAAAACCCCUCUGAGAUUGCUCGCUUAUCUGUCCCUGAGAAUUGAAGAAACACCAUUUCUCAUAUCCAGUAAAGCCUUCCGAUAAUGAACUCUGCGAUAAGGGGACUCCAUUCAUCGUGAAGCCACAAAUCGUUCCAGUGCAUCAACCCUUUCAGUCCCAACGGAGAUAAAGAAGGGCUGUUUUUGGAGCUCUCAAAAAGCAUUUUUGUGUGCCUCGGACCUAGAAAGCUCAAAAGGUGUCCCAGGCGGCACUCUGCCACCCUGCCCCAUGUGCACGAUCCCCCCAGUCCAGCUGCCGGCUUGUUCUCCUGCACGCACGUGACCCAGCAACCAGCCAGGUGCUUGAGAUACCUGCCCUUUGGUCCUCACCAAAACCCCUGGAGCUAGCUUACCUCUCUGACCCCUAGUUUCUACAUCUGCAGCAUGGGGAGAAGUGUGCCGUCAACAGCUAAAUAAGUGGUGGUAGGAUUCGAACCCAGCUCUGUUUGGCCCCAACCCCACGCCCUGGCCGCAUUGCCUUCUGCCUCGAACCUGCUUGCUUUGCCUUUCCACCCCACCUUGCCUGCCAUGGAACCUGCCCUACCUGCUCCUACUUUGGUGCCUCCUUUGGCCGAAAUUCCCUACCUCUUAUAGGGCAGCCUUUAUUCCUCUCUCUCCCUGGGUUUGAGUCAUUCUCCCAGGAUAGACUGUGAACUCGUCUGGGACAGAAUCUAUCCCCUACACAGGAUUUCCCUUGAGUUCAUCGUGGACUCAGCGUAGGGUUAGGGACACAGGAUGCUUUGAUCUGCAGAUUGACCUACUUUAUCAUUAGAGCUUCUUGGUUAUUGUGUAAAAAAAUCUCACUAUAAAUUUCCAUUCAGAAAGGUGGCUUGGGUCACUGCCAUGGCAUGGAUUCAAUCCCUGGCCCAGAUACUUUUGCACGCAGCGGGCACAACCAAAAAAAUAAGUUAAAGAACACAUGGGAGUUUCCAUCGUGGCUCAGUGGAAACGAGUCUGACUAGCAUCCAUGAGGACACAGGUUCUAUCCCUGGCCUCGAUCAGUGGGUUAAGGAUCCAGCGUUGCCAUGAGCUGUGAUGUAGAUCACAGACACAGCUGAGAACUGGCAUUGCUGUGGCUGUGCUAUAGGCCAGCAGCUAGAGCUCUGAUUGGACCCUUCGCCUGGGAACCUCCAUAUGCCACAGGUUCGGCCCUAUAAAAGACAAAAAGAAAAAA